UAUACCCCGAGCAGGGCCUAGGCUCCUCCCCUCUGUUUAUUUUUGAAUUUUUAAAUUUUUCAGAGCCUUUUCUUUGAAUAUAUCAAGCACUUUUAAGUGCAUUUUUUGAAUUUAAGCACUCUUUCAUCUUCCCUUACACUCUUAUAAGUUUACUUUUUUUGUUUUAGUGUACACUUUUUUUGUGUUACUAUCUUCACAGACCCAUUUAUUUCUUUUUCACUUUCACACACUUAUUUGUGUUUUUAGCAGCCCUUUGUUUUAUUUUACAACACAUAUUUUUGUGUUAUCUAUCACUCACGGCACCCCCAUUGUCUUUUCAACCUUAACUGUGCUUUCAUUCAAAAAAAUACACCUUUUUGUGCUAUGAUACAUCCCUCUUUUUAGCUCACUACUGUACAUUUUUGUGUAUCACAUUUAAACCAACUAUAUACAAAUUCUAUUUCCAUGACUCUUAACCCAUAUGUAUCUUUUUUGAUUUUUUUCAGAUGGAGACAUCCAGUAUGGUUUUCCGUAAAGGGAGACCAGCGAGGCCCAGAGAGAGAGGCACGGGCUGAGUUAGAUGGAGACAUCCAGUAUGGUUUUCCGUAAAGGGAGACCAGCGAGGCCCAGAGAGAGAGGCACGGGCUGAGUUAGAUGGAGACAUCCAGUAUGGUUUUCCGUAAAGGGAGACCAGCGAGGCCCAGAGAGAGAGGCACGGGCUGAGUUAGAUGGAGACAUCCAGUAUGGUUUUCCGUAAAGGGAGACCAGCGAGGCCCAGAGAGAGAGGCACGGGCUGAGUUAGAUGGAGACAUCCAGUAUGGUUUUCCGUAAAGGGAGACCAGCGAGGCCCAGAGAGAGAGGCACGGGCUGAGUUAGAUGGAGACAUCCAGUAUGGUUUUCCGUAAAGGGAGACCAGCGAGGCCCAGAGAGAGAGGCACGGGCUGAGUUAGAUGGAGACAUCCAGUAUGGUUUUCCGUAAAGGGAGACCAGCGAGGCCCAGAGAGAGAGGCACGGGCUGAGUUAGAUGGAGACAUCCAGUAUGGUUUUCCGUAAAGGGAGACCAGCGAGGCCCAGAGAGAGAGGCACGGGCUGAGUUAGAUGGAGACAUCCAGUAUGGUUUUCCGUAAAGGGAGACCAGCGAGGCCCAGAGAGAGAGGCACGGGCUGAGUUAGGUAAGUAGAGAUCCCAGAACCAACGCCCAAAGGGCAUCGGACUGGGUUGUGCACUGUCCAUCCCACCCAUGGUCACCAAGCAGGCUCCACUCUCAUACUGGCCACACCAGAGUGUCCCAUCACCCAGUAUAGGGCUCUAACAAUCAGGGCUCUAACAAUCAGGGCUCUAAUGUCCCGGGCUCUAUUACCCAGGGCCUAAGUGGUUAAGGUCAGUGUUGGUUUUUGGGAGGAGAUUUUAAACUAUAUACAGGUACACAAGCCUUUUAUCGCGACGUUUCGACAGCUUUCUGUGUCUUCUUCAGGCAUGACUUGUGUAAAAUAAAUGUUUUCUUCUCUGAGCUCAAUUUAAUUUUUUAAUUUUCUUUCUAAACACCAUGUA